rnacentral:misc_RNA from 1 species
UCCAGCUUAUCACCGGCAGUCUCCCUAGAGUGCCCAACUAAAUGAUGGCAACUAAGGACGAGGGUUGCGCUCGUUGCGGGACUUAACCCAACAUCUCACGACACGAGCUGACGACAGCCAUGCAGCACCUGUGUUCUAGCCAGCCGAACUGAAGAUCCUAAUCUCUUAAGACCAUACUAGACAUGUCAAGGGUUGGUAAGGUUCUGCGCGUUGCGUCGAAUUAAACCACAUGCUCCACCGCUUGUGCGGGCCCCCGUCAAUUCCCUUGAGUUUCAACCUUGCGGCCGUACUCCCCAGGCGGGGUGCUUAACGCGUUAGCUGCGACACUGACGAGCAAGCUCGCCAACGUCUAGCACCCAUCGUUUACGGCGUGGACUAC